rnacentral:rRNA from 1 species
AAGACCUUGCGCUUUUGGAGCGGCCGAUGCCUGAUUAGCUUGUUGGUAAGGUAAAAACUUACCAAGGCUUCGAUCAGUAGCUGGUCUGAGAGGACGGCCAGCCACACUGGGACUGAGACACGGCCCAGACUCCUACGGGAGGCAGCAGUGGGGAAUUUUGGACAAUGGGGGCAACCCUGAUCCAGCCAUGCCGCGUGAGUGAAGAAGGCCUUCGGGUUGUAAAGCUCUUUCAGCCGGAACGAAACGGUUACGGUUAAUACCCGUGAUUACUGACGGUACCGGAAGAAGAAGCACCGGCUAACUACGUGCCAGCAGCCGCGGUAAUACGUAGGGUGCGAGCGUUAAUCGGAAUUACUGGGCGUAAAGCGUGCGCAGGUGGUUUUGUAAGUCAGAUGUGAAAGCCCCGGGCUCAACCUGGGAACU